AGCGAACGCUGGCGGCAGGCUUAACACAUGCAAGUCGAGCGGGCAUCCUUGUGGUGUCAGCGGCAGACGGGUGAGUAACGCGUGGGAACGUGCCCUUCGGUUCGGAAUAACUCAGGGAAACUUGAGCUAAUACCGGAUACGUGCGAGAGCAGAAAGGUUUAUCUGCCGAAGGAUCGGCCCGCGUCUGAUUAGCUAGUUGGUGAGGUUAUGGCUCACCAAGGCGACGAUCAGUAGCUGGUCUGAGAGGAUGAUCAGCCACACUGGGACUGAGACACGGCCCAGACUCCUACGGGAGGCGGCAGUGGGGAAUAUUGGACAAUGGGGGCAACCCUGAUCCAGCCAUGCCGCGUGAGUGAUGACGGCCUUAGGGUUGUAAAGCUCUUUUCUUCGGGACGAUAAUGACGGUACCGGAGGAAUAAGCCCCGGCUAACUUCGUG
rnacentral:rRNA from 1 species